rnacentral:rRNA from 1 species
GACGAACGCUGGCGGCGUGCUUAACACAUGCAAGUCGAACGGAAAGGCCCUGCUUUUGUGGGGUGCUCGAGUGGCGAACGGGUGAGUAACACGUGAGUAACCUGCCCUUGACUUUGGGAUAACUUCAGGAAACUGGGGCUAAUACCGGAUAGGAGCUCCUGCUGCAUGGUGGGGGUUGGAAAGUUUCGGCGGUUGGGGAUGGACUCGCGGCUUAUCAGCUUGUUGGUGGGGUAGUGGCUUACCAAGGCUUUGACGGGUAGCCGGCCUGAGAGGGUGACCGGCCACAUUGGGACUGAGAUACGGCCCAGACUCCUACGGGAGGCAGCAGUGGGGAAUAUUGCACAAUGGGCGGAAGCCUGAUGCAGAAACGCCGCGUGCGGGAUGACGGCCUUCGGGUUGUAAACAGCUUUCGACUGUGACGAAGCGUGAGUGACGGUAAUGGGUAAAGAAGCACCGGCUAACUACGUG